GAAAUUUUUGUAGGCGCAGUUCACAAAACUGGCCGGAUACGUUCCCGCCCAUUUGUCACACACCGCCCGUUGUUGUUUCCGAAGAUGUGCCAAUACAGUGAUCGGACCGUCGCGUGUCUCACGUGACCGAAAGUUCCACCGAUAUUGCUCAAUAGAGGAAGCAAAAGUCGUAACAAGGUAGCUGUAGGUGAACCUGCAGCUGGAUCAUUU
rnacentral:ncRNA from 1 species